rnacentral:rRNA from 1 species
UACGUAGGGAGCGAGCGUUGUCCGGAAUUACUGGGUGUAAAGGGAGCGUAGGCGGGACUGCAAGUUGGGUGUCAAAUCUACCGGCUCAACCGGUAGCCGCACUCAAAACUGCAGUUCUUGAGUGAAGUAGAGGCAGGCGGAAUUCCUAGUGUAGCGGUGAAAUGCGUAGAUAUUAGGAGGAACACCAGUGGCGAAGGCGGCCUGCUGGGCUUCUACUGACGCUGAGGCUCGGAAGUGUGGGGAGCAAACAGG